UACGUAGGGUGCAAGCGUUAAUCGGAAUUACUGGGCGUAAAGCGUGCGCAGGCGGUGAUGUAAGACAGGUGUGAAAUCCCCGGGCUUAACCUGGGAACUGCAUUUGUGACUGCAUCGCUGGAGUGCGGCAGAGGGGGAUGGAAUUCCGCGUGUAGCAGUGAAAUGCGUAGAUAUGCGGAGGAACACCGAUGGCGAAGGCAAUCCCCUGGGCCUGCACUGACGCUCAUGCACGAAAGUGUCGGGAGGCAAACAGG
rnacentral:rRNA from 1 species